ensembl:lncRNA
GGUAAUCCUAUCUGAUCCUUCACUUACAGCAUUUUUUCCCAUUAUCUUGAGACUCAUCUUUCAGAGAUCCUCUGAGCAUCCCAGCAAUAUCUGUACAACAAACUGAGUCUGCUUGUACAGGGAAUAAAAAAGUGAGGAGGCCUGGGGAAUGUCCACACUAAAACAACAGCUCUUCUUCAGAAAUGAUCCAGAGCGAGCAUGUGCAGGCACUGCAGGGCUGAACGAGAUGGAUUUGGGUCUGGAUCUCCAAAGCAAUGACAGGAUGUUGGCUGAGGGCCCCAAGAAUCUGCCAACGUACAAAGACUAGAUCAAGCAUGGUGCUGAGAUAUAGAGACUCUAGAGGGAUCUCCACUGUGCUUCUUUUUUGCGUGAGAGAGUAAAGGACACUGGCUCAUUUGAGAUCCCUAGACAUGUUAAAAAAUAGUGGAAGAAAAAAGUACAAGAAAACACACUCACGGAACUGCUGAGGUGACGUAACCAGAACAUUCUGCAGUUGGAAAAUCACAUGUACCUGCAACCCUCCAGAGGAGAAAGUGAUUCAAAGGCUCUUCUUCAACUCUGAUGGGAAGUGGAGAACCAGACUUCAGCAGCUGAGUAGAGUUGGACUCUGCAGCCCAUCACAUCAGCGAUGGAGUGCCAUGGCAGACGUUGAAAAAAUCACGAAUCCGAUCUGCAAAUCAGCAAGUGACUCAAGAUUUUUAUAAUUCUUAAAUGCCAUUUAGACAUCCCAAAGCCUGGGGAGAUUUCCUGUGCUUUAUACCUGAGCCAUCACCUUUCCAUUCCAAAGAGAAUUUCAGUGCCAAAGUGAUAAUGCUUCAGUACUCCACUGAUGCAGCAGAAAUGAGUGAAGUAAACUGUAAUUAUUAGAAGAGGAAAUAUCACAUGAGUUUAAAAGAUUAAAAAGAAAACACAACAACCCUCGCACUUUGUUGGAAAUUAUUUCGUCCAUCUUUUUCCCCACUUUCAUCACAAACAAAACACAUGUACUUGCAAUCUCCUUUCCCCAGUUCUUAAUGAGAGAAGCCUUCAGUGGGUAGUGAAAAAACUAAAAACUUUCAGUCUGGCUGCACAGGAGAGGGUAUUAACUUGUCAGAGUUAUUUUAUGGCAUCCCAGCAAGGGUACAAGGUUGAGGUAUUUUCUGAAAGAUAACUCUGUGUUUUUCCUUUAACUUCCUCUGACUUCUGAGAAUUCUGGCGUAAUUGUUCAUUUCACAAAUCUCGAGGUGUACCAGAAAAAUUUCUUGCCCUGAGGUCAAGAUUCAGUUGUGUUGUGUCAUCGUUGAAGCCUGUUCUCAUUUCUAGUCUUGGCAGGCUGGCUAUCUGGCUUCAGUGAAGUCAAUCAGUAUGACCUCCAGUCCAGAUCUGGAGAUACAGGCAGAAAGUCCGCAAGGUUAAACUGGAUUAUUUGAAAUCAAAUCUGAAUAUCAUAAAUACAUGUCUGUAGCUUCUUUCACAGAUUUUGGAAAUGUGAUAGAAAUUUCUGCUGAAAAUUUCAACUGAGCAUGACCCAGGGAGGCAUGCACGGUGGUGGAGAGCUUGAUCUUAAAAACAGGCUUAUUUUCUAUUUCCUUCCAUUGUAUUUGAUGGCACAGCACUUUGGACAGUGUGGAUGGCACAGCACUUUGGGCAGUGUGGCCAGGUAGCCAUUGUUUUACUCAUAUUUUAAGAGAAAGCACCAGCCAGACUUUUCCUCUAGAAGCAGUCAUGCAGCUCAGAUGCUAAAAUUAAUCCCUUAACUAAUGAUCCAUAUGAAGUCAUUCUUUUGGUACUGAUGUUAUUGGUCCUGUUCUGGUGACAAAUGCAUUUGCUUUGAAUAAAAUGACUCAACUAAUUUCAUACUCAGAAUCAGAAGCUGAGCUCUCCAUGCCCCCUGAAAUGCUG